rnacentral:rRNA from 1 species
UACGUAGGCGGAAGAUUAAGUCAGUGGUGAAAUCCUGCAGCUUAACUGUAGAACUGUCAUUGAUACUGGUUUUCUUGAAUUUAGUUGAGGUAGGCGGAAUGUGUAAUGUAGCGGUGAAAUGCUUAGAUAUUACACAGAACACCGAUUGCGAAGGCAGCUUACUAAACUAUGAUUGACGCUGAGGUACGAAAGCGUGGGGAGCAAACAGGAUUAGAUACCCUGGUAGUC